rnacentral:rRNA from 1 species
UACAGAGGUCUCAAGCGUUUGUUCGGAUUCAUUGGGCGUAAAGGGUGCGUAGGCGGCGCGGUAAGUCGGGUGUGAAAUCUUGGAGCUUAACUCCGAAACUGCAUUCGAUACUGCCGUGCUUGAGGACUGGGAGAGGAGACUGGAAUUUACGGUGUAGCGGUGAAAUGCGUAGAUAUCGUAAGGAAGACCAGUGGCGAAGGCGGGUCUCUGGACAGUUCCUGACGCUGAGGCACGAAGGCCAGGGGAGCAAACGGG